GACGAACGCUGGCGGCGUGCCUAACACAUGCAAGUCGAACGGGGUCCAUGGGAGCUUGCUCCCGGAAGACCUAGUGGCGAACGGGUGAGUAACACGUGAGGAACCUGCCUCGGAGUGGGGAAUAACUCGGGGAAACUCGAGCUAAUACCGCAUACCCUCGGAUGAUCGCAUGGUCGCCCGAGGAAAGAUUUAUCGCUCUGAGAGGGCCUCGCGGCCUAUCAGCUAGUUGGUGGGGUAACGGCCUACCAAGGCAACGACGGGUAGCUGGUUUGAGAGAACGAUCAGCCACACUGGGACUGAGACACGGCCCAGACUCCUACGGGAGGCAGCAGUGGGGAAUCUUGCGCAAUGGGCGAAAGCCUGACGCAGCAACGCCGCGUGCGGGAUGACGGCCUUCGUGGUUGUAAACCGCUUUCAGCAGGGACGAAACUGACGGUACCUGCAGAAGAAGCCCCGGCUAACUACGUGCCAGCAGCCGCGGUAAUACGUAGGGGGCAAGCGUUGUCCGGAUUCAUUGGGCGUAAAGAGCUCGUAGGCGGUUCAGUAAGUCAGGUGUUAAAGCUCCGAGCUCAACUCGGAGAGGCCAUCUGAUACUGCUGUGACUAGAAUCCAGUAGGGGAGCGUGGAAUUCCUGGUGUAGCGGUGAAAUGCGCAGAUAUCAGGAGGAACACCAGCGGCGAAGGCGGCGCUCUGGGCUGAGAUUGACGCUGAGGAGCGAAAGUGUGGGUAGCAAACAGGAUUAGAUACCCUGGUAGUCCACACCGUAAACGUUGGGCACUAGGUGUGGGGAGGAAUCAACCCUUUCCGUGCCGUAGCUAACGCAUUAAGUGCCCCGCCUGGGGAGUACGGCCGCAAGGCUAA
rnacentral:rRNA from 1 species